CUGACAAGAGAGCUCGCAAAUCAAGAAGUAGGGCAGCAAAGAAGGCCAGAAAAGCAGCAAAGAAGGCAGCUAAGGCUUCACUCUCUGGAAACAAACCUGGCUCAGAGGUAGCACCUGAGCCGGCAGCAGAACCAGCACCUGAAGCUGCUGCUGCAUAGUAACCCAUAGGAAAGCCCAGCAGCUCCCUUCCACCAUCGCAGCUCCUGGAUCACCAGGAACACUCUGAUUAAUAAACAUUAUCAUGCAA